UACGAAGGUUGCAAGCGUUACUCGGAAUUACUGGGCGUAAAGCGUGCGUAGGUGGUUGUUUAAGUCUGUUGUGAAAGCCCUGGGCUCAACCUGGGAAUUGCAGUGGAUACUGGGCGACUAGAGUGUGGUAGAGGGUAGUGGAAUUCCCGGUGUAGCAGUGAAAUGCGUAGAGAUCGGGAGGAACAUCCAUGGCGAAGGCAGCUACCUGGACCAACACUGACACUGAGGCACGAAAGCGUGGGGAGCAAACAGG
rnacentral:rRNA from 1 species